rnacentral:rRNA from 1 species
AGUGAACGCUGGCGGUAGGCCUAACACUUGCAAGUCGAACGGCAGCACAGUAAGAGCUUGCUCUUACGGGUGGCGAGUGGCGGACGGGUGAGGAAUACAUCGGAAUCUACUUUUUCGUGGGGGAUAACGUAGGGAAACUUACGCUAAUACCGCAUACGACCUACGGGUGAAAGCAGGGGAUCUUCGGACCUUGCGCGAUUGAAUGAGCCGAUGUCGGAUUAGCUAGUUGGCGGGGUAAAGGCCCACCAAGGCGACGAUCCGUAGCUGGUCUGAGAGGAUGAUCAGCCACACUGGAACUGAGACACGGUCCAGACCCCUACGGGAGGCAGCAGUGGGGAAUAUUGGACAAUGGGCGCAAGCCUGAUCCAGCCAUACCGCGUGGGUGAAGAAGGCCUUCGGGUUGUAAAGCCCUUUUGUUGGGAAAGAAAAGCAGCAGGUUAAUACCCCGCUGUUCUGACGGUACCCAAAGAAUAAGCACCGGCUAACUUCGUG